AAUGAACGUUGGCGGCGUGGCUUAGGCAUGCAAGUCGAGCGCGAACCCCGCAAGGGGGGACAGUGGCGAAAGGGACAGUAAUUUGUAGAUUAUCUGCCCCCCGGUCCGGGAUAGCUGCGGGACACUGCAGAUAUUACCGGAUAACAUCCCAGGAUCACAGGUGUGAUUUCGCCUCAGGAUGAGUCUGCAUCCUAUUAGCUAGUUGGUGGGGUAAUGGCCUACCAAGGCAUUGAUGGGUAGCAGGUGUGAGCGCACGACCUGCGUCAUUGGGACUGAGACACUGCCCAGACACGUACGGGUGGGUGCAGACGAGAAGCCUCGGCAAUGGGGGCAAGCCUGGCAGAGCGACGCGGCGUGUGGGAUGAAGGCGAUCGUGUUGUAAACCACUAUCAGAGGGGAUGAAGUGCAGGUGGGUACUCCCAACUGUUAGGCAAAGCCUCAGAGGAAGGACGGGCUAAGUUCGGG
rnacentral:rRNA from 1 species